rfam:Parcubacteria (Campbellbacteria) bacterium GW2011_GWC1_35_31 TR76_C0002, whole genome shotgun sequence.
UUUAAUUAGAGUUUGAUCCUAGCUCAGGAUGAACGCUGGCUGUGUGGAUUAGGCAUGCAAGUCGAGUGGGUUUAGACCCACGGCGAACGAGGUAGUAACACGUAGGAACGUACCCUAAAGUCUGGCAUAACUUAUCGAAAGGUAGGAUAAUUCCAGAUGGUCUCGCAAGAGUAAAGAUUUAUCGCUUUAGGAACGGCCUGCGGAGUAUCAGCUUGUUGGUAGUGUAAUGGACUACCAAGGCUAUGACGCUUAGGGGAGGUGAGAGCCUGGCCCCCACCGAUGGUACUGAGACACGGACCAUACUCCUACGGGAGGCCGCAGUCGAGAAUCUUCCGCAAUGGGCGAAAGCCUGACGGAGCGACACAGCGUGAUUGAUGAAGCUCUUCGGAGUGUAAAGGUCUUUUAUAAGUGAAGAAGUUUAUUGACAUUAGCUUAUGAAUAAGGGGUUGCUAAACUCGUGCCAGCAGCAGCGGUAAUACGAGUGCCCCGAGCGUUAUCCGGAAUUAUUGGGCGUAAAGGGUGUGUAGGUGGUUUUGUUAGUCUUUUGUUAAAGACCCGGGCUCAACCCGGGGAGCGCAAAGGAAACGGCAAAACUAGAGAGUGUGAGGGGUGAAUGGAACUCAUAGUGUAGGGGUGAAAUCCGUUGAUAUUAUGGGGAACACCAAAAGCGAAGGCAAUUCACUGGCGCAUUUCUGACACUGAAACACGAAAGCGUGGGUAGCGAAUGGGAUUAGAUACCCCAGUAGUCCACGCCCUAAACGAUGUUCUCUAGCUUUUUGGAGUAUCGACCCUCUAAGAGGCGAAGCUAACGCGUUAAGAGAACCGCCUGGGUAGUACGGCCGCAAGGCUAAAACUCAAAGGAAUAGACGGGGACUUGCACAAGCGGUGGAUUACGUGGUUUAAUUCGAUGAUACGCGAAAAACCUCACCAAGAUUAGACAUCUAGUUUACGUCUUUCUGGAAACAGAAAGUCCUAACGGCUAGACAGGUGAUGCAUGGUCGUCGUCAGUUCGUGGCUUGAGCUGUUCCCUUAAGUGGGGAAACGAACGCAACCCUUAUCGUCUGUUACAAGUGUCAGGCGAGACUGCCUAGCCUGAAGCGCGCAAAACGCGCUUCGAGUAGAAAGUAAAAAGUUCGUAAAGUUAAAAGACUUUUAACUUUUUAACUUUAUAAACUUUAUAAACUUUUAACUCGAAGCAAACUUUGUUUGUUUCAGGCUGGGAGGAAGGUGGGGAUGACGCCAGAUCAGCAUGUCCCUAGAUAUCUUGGGCUACACACAUAAUACAAUGGCUGUGACAACGGGUCGCGACGGGGUAACCCUGAGCCAAUCCUUUAAACACAGCCCCAGUUCGGAUUGAGGUCUGCAACUCGACCCCAUGAAGUUGGAAUCGCUAGUAAUCGCUGGUCAGCAUACAGCGGUGAAUAUGUUCUCAAGUCUUGUACUCACCGCCCGUCAACUCAAGGGAGCUGGGAGUACCCGACAGUCGUCUUUAUGACGGACUAAGGUAAAUUCAGUGACAGGGAGUAAGUCGUAACAAGGCACGGGUAGCGGAAGCUGUUCGUGGAAUAUUUCAAAA